rnacentral:rRNA from 1 species
GAUGAACGCUGGCGGCGUGCCUAAUACAUGCCAGUCGAGCGAACGGACGAGAAGCUUGCUUCUCUGAUGUUAGCGGCGGACGGGUGAGUAACACGUGGAUAACCUACCUAUAAGACUGGGAUAACUUCGGGAAACCGGAGCUAAUACCGGAUAAUAUUUUGAACCGCAUGGUUCAAAAGUGAAAGACGGUCUUGCCGUCACUUAUAGAUGGAUCCGCGCUGCAUUAGCUAGUUGGUAAGGUAACGGCUUACCAAGGCAACGAUGCAUAGCCGACCUGAGAGGGUGAUCGGCCACACUGGAACUGAGACACGGUCCAGACUCCUACGGGAGGCAGCAGUAGGGAAUCUUCCGCAAUGGGCGAAAGCCUGACGGAGCAACGCCGCGUGAGUGAUGAAGGUCUUCGGAUCGUAAAACUCUGUUAUUAGGGAAGAACAUAUGUGUAAGUAACUGUGCACAUCUUGACGGUACCUAAUCAGAAAGCCACGGCUAACUACGUG